rfam:Candidatus Yanofskybacteria bacterium RIFCSPHIGHO2_02_FTLL_38_22b rifcsphigho2_02_scaffold_361, whole genome shotgun sequence.
CCCUCAGAGACUUGAUUCUUCGGAAUCAGAUAGUAAGUUUUUACUUACUAUAACACGUUGAGCUCCUGCUUAUACGCAGGAUGAUGAUAUAGUCCAAUUAUCUGGCAGUAUAUUAUAUAUUUGUCAAGAGGCCAGCAGCAGCGGUAAUACGAGGACCCCAAGCGUUAUCCGGAAUCACUGGGCGUAAAGCGCAAGUAGUCGGUUUUGUUAGUCUGGUGUUAAAUCUCAUGGCUCAACUGUGAGACCGCAUCGGAAACGGCAAGACUAGAGUGGGUUAGAGGCAAGCGGAACGUGCGGUGUAGGGGUGAAAUCCAUUAAUAUUGCACGGAACACCAAAAGCGAAGGCAGCUUGCUAGGGCUCUACUGACGAUCAGUUGCGAAAGUGUGGGCAUAAAAAAGGAUUAGAUACCCUUGUAUUCCACACCCUAAACUAUGCAGACUAGCCAUCGGGAGCAUCGACCCUUUCGGUGGCGUAGCUAACGCGUUAAGUCUGCCGCCUGGGAAGUACGAUCGCAAGAUUAAAACUCAAAGGAAUAGCCGGGAAUUCGCACAAGCAGUGGAUCAUGUGGUUCAAUUCGACACUGAGCGAGGAACCUCACCAGGGCUUGAAAUCUAGCUGCAUACGCCAGAAAUGGCGUAGCCUUCGAGGGUGCUAGACAGGUGCUGCACGGCUGAAAGCAGAAGUUGCUAGUGGCUAGUGUUUAGUGACUAGUGACUGAAAAAAUCGGCCAGCGAAAGAGUAAUUUUUCGCACAAAAUACCCACUCAUAUCGGUGAAACCCAAAUCCGCCAGUCGGCGGAGGGCAAUACCGAGGGAACCCCGACUUUCGGUCGGGGACCUGUAGAGACUUUGAUUCUGAGUUUAUUGAAGGAUCAGGAUGGCAGACGUACAAUUUAAACUGCCAUAAAACGUGGGCUCCAGCACAUAUUUCUAAAGAAAAACAGCCUGUUAAGGCUGGUAAGAGUUUUGUAUUUGUUUAUUUCUUGUCUAUUGUUCAAUCAGUUUACAAAAGAAAUCUAUAAUAAAGAAGAAUCCCAUAACCGUAAUCAACGGCAAGAUUAGGGGAAGUGUAGGUAACAGCACUAGUCCCAAGAUAAGAAAUACAAAGAUUCGGUCUAUGAUUGAGUCUAUCAUCUGAAAUACCUCAAUAUUAAAUGUACCGAAAUAAUUAUAGACAAUUUUAUCAAUUUUUGUCAAUUUUAAAAAUUGGCCUUUAGAAAUAUGUGCUGGAUGAAAGUAUAGUCCGUACCAUUAGGAAUAGUGGAAGAAUACGGUCGUCAGCUCGUCAUUUGAAUGGUUCCCUUAAGUGGGUUAACGAGCGCAACCCCCGUUGUGUGUUAUACGUGUCACACGAGACUGCCUUCGUAAGAAGGAGGAAGGAGGGGAUGACGUCAAGUCAGCGUGGCCCUCUGAUGCCCUGGGCUACACACAUGAUACAAUGGAUGUUACAAUGGGUCGCCAAACCGCAAGGUGGAGCCAAUCCCAUCAAAGGCAUCCCCAGUUCGGAUUGGAGGCUGCAACUUGCCUCCAUGAAGCCGGAAUUGCUAGUAAUCGCAGAUCAGAACGCUGCGGUGAAUACGUUCUCGAAUUUUGGACUCACUGCCCGUCAAUUUAAGGGAGUCGGGAGUACCUGAAGAUCCAUUUUUAAAGUGGGGACACGGUAAGCUCGAUGACAGGAAAUAAGUCGUAACAAGGCAGGGGUAGCGGAAGCUGCUCCUGGAUCACCUCCUUU